AGCGAACGCUGGCGGCAGGCCUAACACAUGCAAGUCGAACGCCCCGCAAGGGGAGCGGCAGACGGGUGAGUAACGCGUGGGAACGUACCCUUUGCUACGGAAUAGCUCCGGGAAACUGGAAUUAAUACCGUAUGUGCCCUACGGGGGAAAGAUUUAUCGGCAAAGGAUCGGCCCGCGUUGGAUUAGCUAGUUGGUGGGGUAAUGGCCUACCAAGGCGACGAUCCAUAGCUGGUCUGAGAGGAUGAUCAGCCACAUUGGGACUGAGACACGGCCCAAACUCCUACGGGAGGCAGCAGUGGGGAAUAUUGGACAAUGGGCGCAAGCCUGAUCCAGCCAUGCCGCGUGAGUGAUGAAGGCCUUAGGGUUGUAAAGCUCUUUCACCGGAGAAGAUAAUGACGGUAUCCGGAGAAGAAGCCCCGGCUAACUUCGUGCCAGCCGCCGCCGUAAGAC
rnacentral:rRNA from 1 species